rnacentral:rRNA from 1 species
UUGGCACCAGGAGGCGAUGAAGGACGUGGCUAGCUGCGAUAAGCUUCGGGGAGCCGCUAAACAGGCUUAGAUCCGGAGAUUUCCGAAUGGGGAAACCUACUGGGAUUCAUCUUCCAGUAUUUACUACUGAAUACAUAGGUAGUAAAGGCUAACGGGGGGAACUGAAACAUCUAAGUACCCCUAGGAAAAGAAAGUAAAAACGAUUCCCUUAGUAGUGGCGAGCGAACGGGGAACAGCCCAAACCAUGUAUGCGUGAUAGCCCGUGAGCGUUGUAUAUAUGGGGUUGUGGGGUUCAGUCGGACGACUUCACGGAGUUGUCGGAGAGUUACAAAAUUCAUGUAUAGACGAACAACCUGGAAAGGUUGACCACAGGGGGUGACAGUCCCGUAGUCGAAAUGCAUGGAUCUCUCUGGGCGGAAUUCCCGAGUACCACGAGACACGAGGAACCUUGUGGGAAUCCGGAAGGACCAUCUUCCAAGGCUAAAUACUACCUGGUGACCGAUAGUGGACUAGUACCGUGAGGGAAAGGUGAAAAGAACCCCUGUGAGGGGAGUGAAAUAGAACCUGAAACCGUGUGCCUACAAGCGGUAGGAGGCUGAUUUCAAUUCUUCGGAAUUGAACGGCUGACUGCGUGCCUUUUGCAUAAUGAGUCAGCGAGUUACUCUACGUAGCAAGGUUAAGCCGAUAAAGGUGUAGCCGAAGCGAAAGCGAGUACGAAUAGUGCGAUUAGUUGCGUGGAGUAGACCCGAAGCCAAGUGAUCUACCCAUGGCCAGGGUAAAGCACGUGUAAAAGCCUGUGGAGGCCCGAACGCACUGACGUUGAAAAGUCAGGCGAUGAGCUGUGGGUAGGGGUGAAAGGCCAAUCAAACUUGGAAAUAGCUGGUUCUCCCCGAAAUAUAUUUAGGUAUAGCCUUGCAAGUAAGUGAUGGAGGUAGAGCACUGGAUGGGCUAGGGGUCCUUAGGACUACCAAACCCAACCAAACUCCGAAUGCCAUCAACUUUUAUUGCAGGAGUCAGUCUACGGGAGAUAAGUUCCGUGGACGAGAGGGAAAAAGCCCAGACCGCCAGCUAAGGUCCCUAAAUGUGUGCUAAGUGGAAAAGGAAGUGGAAACGCAGAGACAACCAGGAGGUUGGCUUAGAAGCAGCCAUCCUUUAAAGAAAGCGUAAUAGCUCACUGGUCAAGUGGAUCUGCGCCGAAAAUAUAACGGGGCUUAAGCACACUACCGAAGCUGCGGGCAUCUUUCGCAAGGAAGGUGCGGUAGGGGAGCGUUCCAUUGUAGGAUGAAGCCAGACUGUAAGGACUGGUGGACGAAAUGGAAGUGAGCAUGCUGACAUGAGUAGCGAUAAAAUGGGUGAGAAACCCAUUCGCCGAAAGCCUAAGGUUUCCUGAGGAAGGUUAAUCCGCUCAGGGUUAGUCGGUCCCUAAGCCGAGGUCAAAUGGCGUAGGUGAUGGGAAACAGGUUAAUAUUCCUGUACCACUGAUUCAACGUUUGAGUGAAGGGGGGACGAAGAAGGGUAGGCCAUCCUACGGUCGGAAGUGUAGGUUCAAGCUUGUAGGGGGGUGUCCUAGGCAAAUCCGGGACGCCUUAACCCCGAGAAGCGAUGAGGAGAGGCUUUGCCUCGCAAACUGGUUGAUCCCAUGCUUCCAAGAAAAUCCUCGUAGCGAGUUGUAUCGGUGACCGUACCGCAAACCGACACAGGUAGGCAGGGAGAGAAUCCCAAGGCGCUUGAGAGAACUCUGGUUAAGGAACUCGGCAAAUUGACACCGUAACUUCGGGAGAAGGUGUGCCUCAUUAGGGUGAAGUGUCUUGCACACGGAGCUCGAAGGGGUUGCAGAGAACAGGGGGUGGCGACUGUUUACUAAAAACACAGGACUCUGCUAAGUCGCAAGACGAUGUAUAGGGUCUGACGCCUGCCCGGUGCUGGAAGGUUAAGGGGAUCUGUUAGUUUACUUUCGGGUAAGUGAAGCAGUGAACUGAAGCCCCAGUAAACGGCGGCCGUAACUAUAACGGUCCUAAGGUAGCGAAAUUCCUUGUCGGGUAAGUUCCGACCUGCACGAA